rnacentral:rRNA from 2 species
GCAUAUCAAUAAGCGGAGGAAAAGAAACUAACAAGGAUUCCCCUAGUAACUGCGAGUGAAGCGGGAAAAGCUCAAAUUUGUAAUCCUUCGGGAAUUGUAAUCUAGAGAAGUGUUUUCGGUCGUUGCCUCGGACAAGUCCCUUGGAACAGGGCGUCAUAGAGGGUGAGAAUCCCGUCCUUGCCGAGCUCCCAGCGUCUAUGUGAUACACUUUCAAAGAGUCGAGUUGUUUGGGAAUGCAGCUCAAAAUGGGUGGUAAACUCCAUCUAAAGCUAAAUAUUGGCGAGAGACCGAUAGCGAACAAGUACCGUGAGGAAAGAUGAAAAGCACUUUGGACAGAGAGUUAAACAGUACGUGAAAUUGUUGAAAGGGAAGCGCUUGAAGUCAGUCGCGUUGCAUAGGACUCAGCCUCACGGCGCAUUUCCUUGCGACGGGUCAACAUCAAUUUCAACCGCGGGAAAAGGACUUGAGGAAUGUGGCAGUCUCGGCUGUGUUAUAGCCUUUUGUCGUACACCGCGGUUGGGAUUGAGGUCUGCUACAGGAGGGAAAGAUGAAAAGCACUUUGGACAGAGAGUUAAACAGUACGUGAAAUUGUUGAAAGGGAAGCGCUUGAAGUCAGUCGCGUUGCAUAGGACUCAGCCUCACGGCGCAUUUCCUUGCGACGGGUCAACAUCAAUUUCAACCGCGGGAAAAGGACUUGAGGAAUGUGGCAGUCUCGGCUGUGUUAUAGCCUUUUGUCGUACACCGCGGUUGGGAUUGAGGUCUGCUACAGGA